CUACGGGCGGCUCCAGUGGGGAGUAUUGGACAAUGGGGGAAACCCUGAUCCAGCAAUGCCGCGUGUGUGAAGAAGGCCUGCGGGUUGUAAAGCACUUUCGGUUGGGAGGACUGCUUCUAGCACUAAUAUUGUUGGAAGUUGACGUUACCUUCAGAAGAAGCACCGGCUAACUCCGUGCCAGCAGCCGCGGUAAUACGGAGGGUGCAAGCGUUAAUCGGAAUUACUGGGCGUAAAGCGCGCGUAGGCGGCUAGAUCAGUCGGGUGUGAAAGCCCCGGGCUUAACCUGGGAACUGCAUCCGAUACUGUCUAGCUUGAGUACAGGAGAGGAGAGUGGAAUUCCACAUGUAGCGGUGAAAUGCGUAGAUAUGUGGAGGAACACCAAUGGCGAAGGCAGCUCUCUGGCCUGAUACUGACGCUGAGGUGCGAAGGCGUGGGGAGCAAACAGGAUUAGAUACCCUUGUAGUC
rnacentral:rRNA from 1 species